UUUGGUUAUUUCUUUCAAUUU
rnacentral:piRNA from 1 species